GACGAACGCUGGCGGCGUGCUUAACACAUGCAAGUCGAACGAAGAGCGACGGAAGCUUGCUUCUAUCAAUCUUAGUGGCGAACGGGUGAGUAACGCGUAAUCAACCUGCCCUUCAGAGGGGGGACAACAGUUGGAAACGACUGCUAAUACCGCAUACGAUCUAAUCUCGGCAUCGAGGAUAGAUGAAAGGUGGCCUCUACAUGUAAGCUAUCACUGAAGGAAGGGGAUUGCGUCUGAUUAGCUAGUUGGAGGGGUAACGGCCCACCAAGGCGAUGAUCAGUAGCCGGUCUGAGAGGAUGAACGGCCACAUUGGGACUGAGACACGGCCCAGACUCCUACGGGAGGCAGCAGUGGGGAAUCUUCCGCAAUGGACGAAAGUCUGACGGAGCAACGCCGCGUGAGUGAUGACCGGCUUCGGGUUGUAAAGCUCUGUUAAUCGGGACGAAAGGCCUUCUUGCAAAUAGUGAGAAGGAUAGA
rnacentral:rRNA from 1 species